GUACACUCCUACGGGAGGCAGCAGUGGGGAAUAUUGGACAAUGGGCGCAAGCCUGAUCCAGCCAUGCCGCGUGAGUGAUGAAGGCCCUAGGGUUGUAAAGCUCUUUCACCGGUGAAGAUAAUGACGGUAACCGGAGAAGAAGCCCCGGCUAACUUCGUGCCAGCAGCCGCGGUAAUACGAAGGGGGCUAGCGUUGUUCGGAUUUACUGGGCGUAAAGCGCACGUAGGCGGACUAUUAAGUCAGGGGUGAAAUCCCGGGGCUCAACCCCGGAACUGCCUUUGAUACUGGUAGUCUUGAGUUCGAGAGAGGUGAGUGGAAUUCCGAGUGUAGAGGUGAAAUUCGUAGAUAUUCGGAGGAACACCAGUGGCGAAGGCGGCUCACUGGCUCGAUACUGACGCUGAGGUGCGAAAGCGUGGGGAGCAAACAGGAUUAGAAACCCCAGUAGUCC
rnacentral:rRNA from 1 species